CACAAACGGCAGUGGCCUGGAGCUCGUAGAGAAGAGAAGGAAGAGGAUGAGAAGCACAACUACACAGCGAUAUGAUUCGUGAAUUUAGAGUGUACGUAUUGUCGAGAGGAAACAGGCAUCGUCCAAUUUAAUUAGUACUCCUCGAUGCGCGUGCACAAGCGUACGCCGCCGGCGGCACACAUACGCUCCCAUUUUGGGAACCGCCUGUCUCUCCAUCGCCUUAGGUUCUCGCGGAGCUUGAGCUUGAGCCAAAAGGAUUCAAAACAGACGUUGAGGACGAAGUAAAUCGCGCAUGCAUCAGCAGAGCGGACAAUGGAGCCAUACAUGCCAGUGUAUUGAGUAUAUUGCAAACACUACUCCGAUUUUUUUGGGACAU
ensembl:ncRNA T27F2.6 ncRNA